CUGCAGUUCAGACAUGGGCUCUGCUGACACCAUUGUUUACAUGUUAGUUUGAACGUUCCAGGAAAGCUCAGAUGUGGAUUGGCAUCUCCCAGAGCCUAUUGUUAGUUAAGUACUCGCAAUUACUUGAAUAACCUCUUCACACUAUGUUGACCAAAUCUGCCUUAUGUGCUUCCUACAGCAAACACUUUAAAUACAAGUAUAGAGCCAAUGCUCAUAACUUCAGAUAUAAAAAUAAUACAUGCA